rnacentral:rRNA from 1 species
GACGAACGCUGGCGGCGUGCCUAAUACAUGCAAGUCGAACGAAGCUGUUUUAACUGGUGCUUGCACCGACUUAAACAACUGAGUGGCGAACGGGUGAGUAACACGUGGGUAACCUGCCCCAAAGCGGGGGAUAACAUUUGGAAACAGAUGCUAAUACCGCAUAACCACAGAAACCACAUGGUUUCCGUGUCAACGAUGGUUUCGGCUAUCACUUUGGGAUGGACCCGCGGCGUAUUAGCUAGUUGGUAAGGUAAUGGCUUACAAAGGCAAUGAUACGUAGCCGAACUGAGAGGUUGAUCGGCCACAUUGGGACUGAGACACGGCCCAAACUCCUACGGGAGGCAGCAGUAGGGAAUCUUCCACAAUGGACGAAAGUCUGAUGGAGCAACGCCGCGUGAGUGAAGAAGGUUUUCGGAUCGUAAAACUCUGUUGUCAGAGAAGAACGUGUGCGAGAGUAACUGCUCGUGCAGUGACGGUAUCUGGCCAGAAAGCCACGGCUAACUACGUGCCAGCCGCCGCCGUAA